CCAACCCCCUACCACACAUAUCACAAUCAUACACACACACACACCGAAAUGAUAGAGGAUAAAAUUUGAAUUUAUACAAAUUAUACAAAAUGUCACAAAAGAAGACGAAAAAAAAACUCAUAUCAAAGAUAUUGUGCAGAGAUUAAAAAAUGUUCCACACAAUUGAACACAAGCAAUUUUCGAUAUGUAUGCUUUCGAUGGAAGAAAAAACCGGAAUUUUGCAAAUCUGAAUAUGGCGGCCAUAUGUGUGCGGGGUAGGCCUGGAUAUGACAACAAACCAAAAAGGAUAAUUCUAUUUAUUUUUGUGCAGAUUUAAGCCAGCAAAAACCGAAUGAUGUUGUGAACACUUCUCUCAUUUGAAUAUAAAUUAUCUCUUCAAAGCAGUGAAGAAAUUUAAAUAUUUUGUCAGCGGCCUCAAUAUCAAUGGUCUGAAAAAAUACGAUAAAUAUUUAUGUGAGUGACACAGGCGUUUUCGUUUCAAGUUAAGCUCUUUAAAUAACAUUAAAACUUGCGCAAAAGUU
rnacentral:sRNA from 1 species